rnacentral:pre_miRNA from 1 species
AGUACAGAUUCUGGGUCAUAUUCUAAAAUUGUUUAAGUUUUUAAGAAAUUUCCAAAUGUCUUCCAAAAGAGCUAUAGUAAUUUUUAUUCCCACCAGAAAU